CCUGGGCCCCGCCCCGCCGUCGACCAGUGAGGCCCCGCCUCUCCCUCAAAUCGCCAUCCCAACCUGGUUUCGUGGAAAAGGUUCCCCAGCUUCUCUAGCUGUGGAUUUACCAGAGACCUCACUCCGCCCUAGACCUUCAGGAGGCCCGGUGGAUCCAAGUCAACCCUAUCUCGCCCGACCUCAGCUCUCCCGGGUGUCUUGGCGGCCCAGAGCGCACGUGGAGAUGGAGCUGGCUGUGCACGUAGCUUGUGGUACCCGCGCUUGCCAGGUUGGCCCAGGGGCGAUGGCAGGAGGGCCGCUUUAGACUGCCUGAGACUGGAGAGGAGGCCAACGGAGUCAGCAGCAAAGCCAGAAGACCUCUACCUAGCCGAGGCCACGCCUUGCCCUUGCACUCGGGACCUGGUUUUUCUGGGCUUCUUUGACAGUGUUAAGUCACAAUGAGAUAAACAGCCCUAGGGAGAUGCUCUACUUGUAGUCAUCACAGGUGACAGCACCUCUGCUGUGGAAUCAGUCACCCACUAGGUGGACGGAGCUUGCCCCCACUGCGAAUCCUGCACGAGCUCCUCUGCUGGUGUCCACAAACAAGUCAGAUCACUUCAGAGGAGCAACUAACUUCAUCUCCAGCUCUGGUCCAAUGUGUAGAGCUAGAGUGACCAGCACAGAGGACCAAAGAUCUACCAUUACCUGGGAUCAGUCUGUUGGCAGAACUGCACUAACGUACUGGCUCUCCACUCCUCUAAGCACCACAUCCAUGAAAUCCACAUCAAGGGAACUCCCGCUAUUUCCUACUUUGUGGACCCUAUCCUCCCCGAUUCUGCACCACACUGCUUUGUAAGUGAUUCUCAUAAACAGCCACACCUGAACAAUCAGUUGUUAGAUGUUGUUUAGGUCACAAAAUAGGAGAUGUCAUCUCUUGUCCUCAAAAAAUAUCAAGUAGUUUAAGGAAUCAAGUGGCAGUCCACAGCAUUACAGGUGCCUGGCAGUGAGUGGCCAUUUAUAACCAAAACUAAGAGUGAGACUCAAGGUGUUAAGGGAGGUCAGAGGUCGCAUGUUAAGGGAGGUUAGAGGUCACACAAUAACUUGUGCUUUGAGUGGGAAAGAGGCUGUGAGCAGACUAUAGAUGCCACGCUAGGUUGAGAAGGCCCAGCUUUGACUUGGGCUUCAUCUAAAGCCACAGAAGAUAUCUAAGCAAGAAAGAUGAGCAUCCAGCAGUGAUGGAGAAAGCAGCAGGAAGCUGACUAUACAGAGAUCAGCUGUACAGUCUAGGCACAAGCUAGUAAACGCAUGAGUUGUUUUUGAGAGAGGGAAACUGGUUGUGUGGGCCAUAAAGGGCGAGGGAACUGGAUACCUGCGGUUUAAAGCAGACUAGGACAAAAAGCAUUACAAGCAGAAAUAACGGAGAGAUUACCAGUGAUCAAGGGCACAUACUACUUUUAGGACUUGAGUUCAGUUUCUAGCACCCAUGUUAGGUGGCUCAGAACUGCCUGUAAAUCCGGUUCUAGGGAACCAGACACCACUGAUCUACAUGGACACUUGCAAGCAUACGCCAUAUAUACACACACAUACACAUAAUUAAAAAUAAUAAAAGAAUGGAAACAAUAGCUUGCUCAAGCAAUUAAAUUCUGAUAACUACUAUUAAUGGUGAAGGAUUAUUGACACAAGUAAGUGGCAACAGAGCAAGAUUGACAACAUAUCUCCCAAGUUUUAGAAUGCAACAAUGCUCAUCUUCCUAUAUUUAACAGAACCACGCUGUGGGAUUUUAGUCUAUGAAGAAAUGGUUGAUCAUCCUCAAUGCCAAGAUUCAAAUACAUUUCUUCUACCACCAUGACCUCAUCUUGACCUACCCCUGAACUGGAAGAUAUAUUUUCAAAAUAACACAAAUUUGUAUUGCCUAAGGAAAACACUAUGCCAUUUAUAGCAGGGCACAUUAUGAUGAAGGUUUCAAAUUUGGACUCCUGAGACAAACCCUGAGUUAAUGCAUUUUGCAGAUACCACUGCAUGAUAGCCAAGUGUAUGCUUAUAACUCCCCCCAAAUAAGCAGGCACAGUGUCAGCAGAUAGUUGGGUCAAUAGAUACCUGGUAGAAAAAGAAAGUGAAGGGAAAGGAUUAAGUGAACAAGACUAGUUGAAUGAAUGGGCGCCUCAGUUUGCUCCCACAGAAAGCUGUGAACAACUGAUAGCCAAGCCUUUGAGGGAAAACACUUAACUUGCCUAAUCCUGAAGAAUGGCCAUCACAGCAGCAGUCAUAAGCUUACAAUGAAUGAAUACAGACUAAACCCAACGGGUUAGAUGCCUCCUGAAGGCACCUAUGCAGCCAUGGAACCAUGGACUACUUCCUUAUCUGGGCAUUGAACCCUGCUUCCCUCAGGGGCAAGCCAGUACCCAGCAGCUACAUCUGUGCUGUGCAGUUCUAUGGAUGCACCGCAAUUCUCUGAACUGAUGAUGGUGGCUACAUGCUCAAGGUGAGCCCUGAUGAGUCAGCAAGCAUGGGAACCAGAAAGGAUGGCAGAGGCUGACCUGUAGGGACACACUUUGCAGGCCUGAAGCCUUCUUCCACCCACCAAUGAGACCAGGAGGCAGAGGAAAAGUUUCCUUUAAAAUAAAUACAAAGCAGCUGAAGGA